rnacentral:misc_RNA from 1 species
AACCUAGCACACCUGCGGUGUGUACCUGCGGAGGGAUCAUUACAAGUGACCCCGGUCUAACCACCGGGAUGUUCAUAACCCUUUGUUGUCCGACUCUGUUGCCUCCGGGGCGACCCUGCCUUCGGGCGGGGGCUCCGGGUGGACACUUCAAACUCUUGCGUAACUUUGCAGUCUGAGUAAAUUUAAUUAAUAAAUUAAAACUUUCAACAAUGGAUCU